rnacentral:rRNA from 1 species
CCUACGGGAGGCAGCAGUGGGGAAUAUUGCACAAUGGGGGGAACCCUGAUGCAGCGACGCCGCGUGGGUGAAGGAGUAUUUCGGUAUGUAAAGCCCUAUCAGCAGGGCCGAACAAUGACGGUACCUGACUCAGAAGCACCGGCUAAAUACGUGCCAGCAGCCGCGGUAAUACGUAUGGUGCACGCGUUGUCCGGAUUUACUGGGUUGAAAGGGAGCGCAGGCGGGGCGUCAAGCCUGGUGUGAAAGCCCGCGGCCAACCCGCGGGACUGCAUUGGCACCUGGUGCGCGGGAGUGCCGGAGGGGUAAGCGGAAUUCCUAGUGUAGCGGUGAAAUGCGUAGAUAUUAGGAGGAACACCAGUGGCGAAGGCGGCCUACUGGACGGUGACUGACGCUGAGGCUCGAAAGCGUGGGGAGCAAACAGGAUUAGAUACCCUUGUAGUC